AUCGAACGCUGGCGGCAGGCCUAACACAUGCAAGUCGAGCGGAUGAUGCGGGCUUGCUCCCGGACUCAGCGGUGGCCGGGUGAGUAAUGCCUAGGAAUCCGCCUGGUCGCGGGGGAUAACGUGCGGAUACGGGCGCUAAUCCCGCAUACGACCAGUGGUCGCAUGUGGGGGAUCUUCGGACCUCACGCUAUCUGGUGAGCGUAGGUGGGAUUAGCUAGUUGGUGGGGUAAAGGCCUACCAAGGCGACGAUCCGUAACUGGUCUGAGGGGAUGAUCAGUCACACGGGAGCGGAGACACGGUCCAGACUCGUACGGGAGGCAGCAGUGGAGAAUAUUGGGCAAGGAGCGAAAGGGUAAUCCAGGCAUGCGGCGUGAGUGAAGAAGGGCUUCGGAUUGUAAAGCACUUAAGGUUGAGGGGAAGGACAGUAAGUUAACACCGUGCUGUAUUGACGUUACCAACAGAAUAAGCACCGGCUAACUCCGU
rnacentral:rRNA from 1 species